CGCGCCACAAUCUCAUUGUCUUCAGAGAACCAAUGAACUGGCACGGAAUGGAACCAAACAGAAAUGCGCAAAAACCCCGAAGGGUAUAGAUACAAGCCAAUUCCGCCAGUCAGCAUCAGUUGUUGUUCAAAAGCCUUUGCAUCCAUAACACUGCUUUAAACAGAGUUACCAUGUUUGAAAGUUUGAGGUCGUUGGGUCUCCCUGAGAAUUACCGAUUCUGGAGUCAAGUCAGAGUUGCAGAAAUCACAGACAUGCCGCCAAAGUCGCCUCUGUUAUCGUUUAUUCAAGACAAAGUUUCCUUUGUCUCUGACACCCUGUCUUCUCACUUGUA